rnacentral:lncRNA from 14 species
AUUCAUCUAAAGGAAACAAACACGUCCCCAAACAUUAUUCUUGGGUUUCAUUUACAAGCUUUGGGCAGAAUUUUACAAGAAAAAUGAUUCCAUCUGUUCAGCUAAAGACAAGCCUAAAACUUAUUUUCAAUACAGAAGCUGUAACUGAAGGUGAUUAAGUAAUUUAUUGUAGUUUACCAGCCAACAGCAACAUAUACAUCUAUAUAUAAUCCAUAUCUAUCUCGUAAAAAUCCAUAUGGUGACAUGCAAGCAUUUCUCUCCAAUAGUAUAUGUUUAGAAAAUGUCUGGCCAUGCCAGUGCUUGAAGCAGUUUCAGAGGUAAGCCUUUGGCUAGUGUCAUGAAGAUCUUCUCCUCCUCUCUGUUAAAGAAUGGUGUAAACCAGGUGCAGAACUGCAGCUGGGGCUGUGCACCAUACUCUUUCAGAUCUUUCCUAGGCCACAGGCCCAGGUGUCUUGGUUUUUGUUAGGCAGAAAUACUGGUGUUUGUUGCAGUUGUUUUCAGUGGAGUCUCAUUUAUUUAUUUCAGCAGGCAGAAUAGCUUUGUCUGCCUCUCUGGUUAUGAAUCCAGAUCAUGAAGCUUUAUGGCUGAUUGGACGAUUUGAACCGGCUCAUUCUACCGUUCACUGAGAAGUUGGAUGCUAGGACAACAUGGAAUGUGAAAAAGCAGUUCAAUGCUGAAAGGAAUGCACAAAUUACUGGUACCACUCCAGGACCCGCAGAUGAAUCCUUUCAGAAGCAGACCUGUGAGCUCUGUUGCUGUUUCUGCGCUGGAGUUCAUUGUAUUUGCACGUACACAGGAGCUCAGGUGGGUAAGAAGAACCUGCCUGUUAGCAC